rnacentral:rRNA from 1 species
AAACUAACAAGGAUUCCCCUAGUAACUGCGAGUGAAGCGGGAAAAGCUCAAAUUUAAAAUCUGACAGUUUCACUGUCCGAGUUGUAAUCUGGAGAAGCAUUUUCCGUGUCGGACCGUGUACAAGUCUCUUGGAAUAGAGCGUCAUAGAGGGUGAGAAUCCCGUCCAUGACACGGACUACCGAUGCUUUGUGAUAUGCUCUCGAAGAGUCGAGUUGUUUGGGAAUGCAGCUCAAAAUGGGUGGUAAAUUCCAUCUAAAGCUAAAUAUUGGCGAGAGACCGAUAGCGAACAAGUACCGUGAGGGAAAGAUGAAAAGCACUUUGGAAAGAGAGUUAAACAGUACGUGAAAUUGUUGAAAGGGAAACGCUUGAAGUCAGUCGCGUUGAUUGAGACUCAGCCUUGCUUUGCAUGGUGUACUUCUCAGUUAACGGGUCAACAUCAAUUUCAGUUGGUGGAUAAAGGCAUUGGGAAUGUGGCACCUUCGGGUGUGUUAUAGACCUUUGUUGUAUACACUGACCGGGAUUGAGGAACGCAGCACGCCACUAAGGCCAGGGAUUCGUCCCAUGUAACGUGCUUAGGAUGUUGGCAUAAUGGCUUUAAGCGAC